UACGUAGGGUGCGAGCGUUAAUCGGAAUUACUGGGCGUAAAGCGUGCGCAGGCGGCUCUGCAAGACAGAUGUGAAAUCCCCGGGCUUAACCUGGGAAUGGCAUUUGGGGACUGCAAGGCUUGAGUGCGGCAGAGGAGACUGGAAUUCCUGGUGUAGCAGUGAAAUGCGUAGAUAUCAGGAGGGAUACCGAUGGCGAAGGCAGGUCUCUGGGCUGACACUGACGCUCAUGCACGAAAGCGUGGGGAGCAAACAGG
rnacentral:rRNA from 1 species